CCUACGGGUGGCAGCAGUGAGGAAUAUUGGUCAAUGGACGAGAGUCUGAACCAGCCAAGUAGCGUGAAGGAUGACUGCCCUAUGGGUUGUAAACUUCUUUUAUAUGGGAAUAAAAUGUUCCACGUGUGGGAUUUUGUAUGUACCAUAUGACUAAGGAUCGGCUAACUCCGUGCCAGCAGCCGCCGUAAUCCGGAGGCUCCAGGCGUUAUCCGGAUUUUUGGGGUUAAAGGGGCGCGUAGGUGGAUUGUUAAGUCAGUUGUGAAAGUUUGCGGUCAACCGUAAAAUUGCAGUUGAAACUGGCAGUCUUGAGUACAGGAGAGGUGGGCGGAAUUCGUGGUGUAGCGGUGAAAUGCGUAGAUAUCGCGAAGAACUCUGAUUGCGAAGGCAGGUCACUGGACUGCAACUGACACUGAGGCUCGAAGGUGUGGGUAUCAAACAGGAUUAGAUACCCCGGUAGUC
rnacentral:rRNA from 1 species